rnacentral:rRNA from 1 species
CCUACGGGAGGCAGCAGUGGGGAAUUUUGGACAAUGGGCGCAAGCCUGAUCCAGCAAUGCCGCGUGAGUGAAGAAGGCCUUCGGGUUGUAAAGCUCUUUUGUCAGGGAAGAAACGGUUGGGGCUAAUAUCCUCAGCUAAUGACGGUACCUGAAGAAUAAGCACCGGCUAACUACGUGCCAGCAGCCGCGGUAAUACGUAGGGUGCAAGCGUUAAUCGGAAUUACUGGGCGUAAAGCGUGCGCAGGCGGUUUUGUAAGUCUGUCGUGAAAGCCCCGGGCUUAACCUGGGAAUUGCGAUGGAGACUGCAAGGCUUGAAUCUGGCAGAGGGGGGUAGAAUUCCACGUGUAGCAGUGAAAUGCGUAGAGAUGUGGAGGAACACCGAUGGCGAAGGCAGCCCCCUGGGUCAAGAUUGACGCUCAUGCACGAAAGCGUGGGGAGCAAACAGGAUUAGAUACCCUGGUAGUCCACGCCCUAAACGAUGUCUACUAGUUGUCGGGUCUUAAUUGACUUGGUAACGCAGCUAACGCGUGAAGUAGACCGCCUGGGGAGUACGGUCGCAAGAUUAAAACUCAAAUGAAUUGACGG